AUGACAUUUGGUGGCAGGGAUUGUGAGGGGUAUAAAUCAUGGCAUUUGGUGGCAGGGAUUGUGAGGGGUAAAUCAUGGCAUUUGGUGGCAGGGAUUGUGAGGGUAAAUCAUGGCAUUUGGUGGCAGGGAUUGUGAGGGGUAAAUCGUGACAUUUGGUGGCAGGGAUUGUGAGGGGUAAAUCGUGACAUUUUGUGGCAGGGAUUUGAGGGGUAAAUCGUGACAUUUUGUGGCAGGGAUUGUGGGGGGUA